CUUGACACACAACAGGAGGAUACCGCAAGGUUAUCAGGCAGAAUAUACUUCCUUGACCCAUUGAAAAGGGGCUUCACCAUCAACUUGAUAUAGCCAAUAGAAUGUUAGUAAAUUUGAUAUAAGCAGAGGGUUUAAAUACGUUUGGUAUGUAAUUUAGUUUGGUUUCUUGCAUGCCUGCCAUUCACCAUGAGAGAACAUGCCUCAGACAGCUGCUGGUCCAAGGAGGAUAAAACCUGAACACAAUCUGCAAAUUGGAGUCUGGAGCCUGGAUUUCAGCCUAGCCCAGGAUCUUUGCGGCCAUGUCAAGACUCCAGCCAUUCCCCAAAUACACCAUGUAGCCAAACACCACCACGGGCAACUCAAGGGCCACAAAGAUUUAUGAGUUUGUUUUGCUGAAGAAAAAGAGUACCUUCGGAAGUUUAUGACCACCAGAUAAUCAACCCCCAGCUGCCACUGAUGC
rnacentral:lncRNA from 1 species